CCUACGGGAGGCAGCAGUGAGGAAUAUUGGUCAAUGGGCGGGAGCCUGAACCAGCCAAGUCGCGUGAGGGAAGACGGUCCUAUGGAUUGUAAACCUCUUUAGGCGGGGAGCAAUGCCGGGCACGCGUGCCCGGAGGGAGAGUCCCCGCAGAAUAAGCAUCGGCUAACUCCGUGCCGGCAGCCGCGGUAAUACGGAGGAUGCGAGCGUUAUCCGGAUUUAUUGGGUUUAAGGGGUGCGUAGGCGGAUUUUUAAGUCAGCGGUAAAAUGUCCGGGCUCAACCCGGGCCGGCCGUUGAAACUGGGGAUCUUGAGUGGGCGAGAGGUAUGCGGAAUGCGUGGUGUAGCGGUGAAAUGCAUAGAUAUCACGCAGAACUCCGAUUGCGAAGGCAGCAUACCGGCGCCCGACUGACGCUGAGGCACGAAAGCGUGGGGAUCGAACAGGAUUAGAUACCCGGGUAGUC
rnacentral:rRNA from 1 species